GCCGGUGUGGUGGAACUGGCAGACGCGCCGGACUCAAAAUCCGGUGGGGGCGACCCCGUGAGAGUUCAAGUCUCUCCACCGGCACCA
rnacentral:tRNA from 5 species